rnacentral:rRNA from 1 species
CCUACGGGCGGCAGCAGUGGGGAAUAUUGGGCAAUGGGCGAAAGCCUGACCCAGCAACGCCGCGUGAAGGAAGAAGGCUUUCGGGUUGUAAACUUCUUUUGACAGGGAAGAGCAGAAGACGGUACCUGUCGAAUAAGCCACGGCUAACUACGUGCCAGCAGCCGCGGUAAUACGUAGGUGGCAAACGUUGUUCGGAUUUACUGGGUGUAAAGGGCGUGUAGCCGGGCUGGCAAGUCAGAUGUGAAAUCCCGGGGCUCAAACCCCGCACUGCAUUUGAAACUGUUUGUCUUGAGUAUCGGAGAGGCAGGCGGAAACUCUAGGGUAGCGGUGAAAGGCGUAGGUAUUAGGGGGAACACCAGUGGCGAAGGCGGCCUGCUGGACGACAACUGACGGUGAGGCGCGAAAGCGUGGGGAGCAAACAGGAUUAGAUACCCUUGUAGUC